rnacentral:rRNA from 1 species
UCGAGGGGCAGCGGGGUUGUAGCAAUACAACUGCCGGCGACCGGCGCACGGGUGAGUAACACGUAUGUAACCUGCCCUCUGCAGGGGGAUAAGCGGAAGAAAUUCCGUCUAAUACCGCAUAAUACAAUUUGGAGACAUCUCCGGGUUGUCAAAGGAGUGAUCCGGCAGAGGAUGGACAUGCGGCGCAUUAGCUAGUCGGCGGGGUAACGGCCCACCGAGGCUACGAUGCGUAGGGGUUCUGAGAGGAAGGUCCCCCACACUGGUACUGAGACACGGACCAGACUCCUACGGGAGGCAGCAGUGAGGAAUAUUGGUCAAUGGGCGGAAGCCUGAACCAGCCAAGUCGCGUGAGGGAAGACGGUCCUAUGGAUUGUAAACCUCUUUUGCAGGGGAGCAAGGCGCGGUACGUGUACCGCGAAGGAGAGUACCCUGAGAAAAAGCAUCGGCUAACUCCGUGCCAGCAGCCGCGGUAAUACGGAGGAUGCGAGCGUUAUCCGGAUUUAUUGGGUUUAAAGGGUGCGCAGGCGGACUGUUAAGUCAGCGGUAAAAUGUCGGUGCUCAACACCGGCCGGCCGUUGAAACUGGCAGCCUUGAGUGAGCGAGAAGUAUGCGGAAUGCGUGGUGUAGCGGUGAAAUGCAUAGAUAUCACGCAGAACUCCGAUUGCGAAGGCAGCAUACCGGCGCUCAACUGACGCUCAGGCACGAAAGCGUGGGUAUCGAACAGGCUUAGAUACCCUGGUAGUCCACGCAGUAAACGAUGAAUGCUCACUGUCCGG